rnacentral:tRNA from 1 species
GAGAAAAAAGCAUAUAUGCGGUUAACUUGAAAUUAGCAGAAGGUAGUCUAAAAUUCUACCUUUUCUCG